rnacentral:rRNA from 1 species
AUUGAACGCUGGCGGCAUGCCUAACACAUGCAAGUCGAACGAGUAGCGGACUGGUGAGUGGUGUCGGGGAAACUGCCUGAUGGAGGGGUAUAACUACUGGAAACGGUAGCUACUACCGCAUACCAUCAGAUCGGCCCAGGUGGGAUUAGCUAGUUGGUGGGGUAACGGCUCACAAAGGCGACAAUUCCUAGCUGGUCUGAGAGGAUGACCAGCCACAUUGGAACUGAGACACGGCCCAGACUCCUACGGGAGGCAGCAGUGGGGAAUCUUGCACAAUGGGCGAAAGUCUGACGCAGCCACGCCGCGUGUAUGAAGAAGGCUUUCGGGUUGUAAAGCACUGUUAUUGGGGAGGCGUUACCCGAAGAAGAAGCACCGGCUAACUCCGUGCCAGCAGCCGCGGUAAUAC